GCGGGUGUGGCGUAAAGGCAGCCGCGCUGGAUUCAAAAUCCAGUGGUAGAGAUACCGUGUCGGUUCGAGUCCGACCACCCGUACCA
rnacentral:tRNA from 1 species